rnacentral:rRNA from 1 species
AACGAACGCUGGCGGCAUGCCUAACACAUGCAAGUCGAACGAGACCUUCGGGUCUAGUGGCGCACGGGUGCGUAACGCGUGGGAACCUGCCCUUAGGUUCGGAAUAACUCCCCGAAAGGGGUGCUAAUACCGGAUAAUGUCUUCGGACCAAAGAUUUAUCGCCUUUGGAUGGGCCCGCGUUGGAUUAGCUAGUUGGUAGGGUAAAAGCCUACCAAGGUGACGAUCCAUAGCUGGUCUGAGAGGAUGAUCAGCCACACUGGGACUGAGACACGGCCCAGACUCCUACGGGAGGCAGCAGUGGGGAAUAUUGGACAAUGGGCGAAAGCCUGAUCCAGCAAUGCCGCGCGAGUGAUGAAGGCCUUAGGGUUGUAAAGCUCUUUUACCCGGGAUGAUAAUGACAGUACCGGGAGAAUAAGCGCCGGCUAACUCCGUG